rnacentral:misc_RNA from 1 species
GAAAUGCGAUAACUAAUGUGAAUUGCAGAAUUCAGUGAAUCAUCGAGUCUUUGAACGCACAUUGCGCCCCUGGUAUUCCGGGGGGCAUGCCUGUCCGAGCGUCAUUGCUGCCCUCAAGCCCGGCUUGUGUGUUGGGCCCUCGUCCCCCGGCUCCCGGGGGACGGGCCCGAAAGGCAGCGGCGGCACCGCGUCCGGUCCUCGAGCGUAUGGGGCUUCGUCUUCCGCUCCGUAGGCCCGGCCGGCGCCCGCCGACGCAUUUAUUUGCAACUUGUUUUUUUCCAGGUUGACCUCGGAUCAGGUAGGGAUACCCGCUGAACUUAAGC